CCUACGCGGGACAGCAGUGGGGAAUAUUGGGCAAUGGGCGCAAGCCUGACCCAGCAACGCCGCGUGAAGGAAGAAGGCUUUCGGAUUGUAAACUUCUUUUCUCAGGGACGAAGAAAGUGACGGUACCUGAGGAAUAAGCCACGGCUAACUACGUGCCAGCAGCCGCGGUAAUCCGUAGGUGGCAAGCGUUAUCCGGAUUUAUUGGGUGUAAAGGGCGUGUAGGCGGGAGCGCAAGUCAGAUGUGAAAACUCAGGGCUCAACCCUGAGCCUGCAUUUGAAACUGUGUUUCUUGAGUGCUGGAGAGGCAAUCGGAAUUCCGUGUGUAGCGGUGAAAUGCGUAGAUAUACGGAGGAACACCAGUGGCGAAGGCGGAUUGCUGGACAGUAACUGACGCUGAGGCGCGAAAGCGUGGGGAGCAAACAGGAUUAGAUACCCCUGUAGUC
rnacentral:rRNA from 1 species